GGUUGAUCCUGCCAGUAGUCAUAUGCUUGUCUCAAAGAUUAAGCCAUGCAUGUCUCAGUGUAAACUUUUAAACAGUGAAACUGCGAAUGGCUCAUUAAAACAGUUAUAGUUUAUUUGAUAAUCUUUCUACAUGGAUAACCGUGGGAAUUCUAGGGCUAAUACAUGCGUAACCCGCAAGGGAUGUGUUUAUUAGAUUUAAAACUAACGCCAGGUUUACCUGGGACCGUUGGAAUAAUAAUAACCGAUCGAAUCGCAUGCUUCACAGCGGCGAUAAAUCAUUCGAGUUUCUGAC
rnacentral:rRNA from 1 species